rnacentral:rRNA from 1 species
GACGAACGCUGGCGGCGUGCCUAAUACAUGCAAGUUGAGCGCUGAAGGUUGGUACUUGUACCAACUGGAUGAGCAGCGAACGGGUGAGUAACGCGUGGGGAAUCUGCCUUUGAGCGGGGGACAACAUUUGGAAACGAAUGCUAAUACCGCAUAAAAACUUUAAACACAAGUUUUAAGUUUGAAAGAUGCAAUUGCAUCACUCAAAGAUGAUCCCGCGUUGUAUUAGCUAGUUGGUGAGGUAAAGGCUCACCAAGGCGAUGAUACAUAGCCGACCUGAGAGGUUGAUCGGCCACAUUGGGACUGAGACACGGACCAAACUCCUACGGGAGGCAGCAGUCGGGAAUCUUCGGCAAUGGACGAAAGUCUGACCGAGCAACGCCGCGUGAGUGAAGAAGGUUUUCGGAUCGUAAAACUCUGUUGGUAGAGAAGAACGUUGGUGAGAGUGGAAAGCUCAUCAAGUGACGGUAACUACCCAGAAAGGGACGGCUAACUACGUGCCAGCAGCCGCCGUAA